AGUGGCUCAUUCACCGACUUAUGUCAGCCCCUUCGGGACGUGCUACAUAAAAUUCGAAUGACGCACAACAAGGUGCCUGUCGUCCAACUUCUGAUAUCAGCGUAGCUAUAUCAACCAUCGGGCGAAACGUCGAGUUAGGCACCGCCUU
rnacentral:sRNA from 1 species